AGUGAACGCUGGCGGCGUGCCUAAUACAUGCAAGUCGAACGAGUGGCGAACGGGUGAGUAAUACGUAGUAACCUGCCCUCCUUUUUGGGAUAAGCCUUGGAAACGGGGUCUAAUACCGACUAACGGGGGUUGGGCUCGCGGCCUAUCAGCUUGUUGGGGGGGUGAUGGCCUACCAAGGCGGUGACGGGUAGCCGGCCUGAGAGGGUGACCAGCCACAUUGGGACGGAGAUACGGUCAAGAAUCCUACGGGAGGCAGCAGGGGGGAAUAUUGGACAAUGGGCGAAAGCCUGAUCCAGCCAUGCCGCGUGUGUGAAGAAGGUCUUCGGAUUGUAAAGCACUUUAAGUUGGGAGGCGUUACCAACAGAAUAAGCACCGGCUAACUUCGUGCCAGCAGCCGCGGUAAUAC
rnacentral:rRNA from 1 species